rnacentral:rRNA from 1 species
CCUACGGGAGACAGCAGUGAGGAAUAGUGGUCAAUGGGCGCGAGCCUGAACCAGCCAAGUAGCGUGAAGGAUGACUGCCCUACGGGUUGUAAACUUCUUUUAUAAAGGAAUAAAGUGAGGCAAGUGUGCCUUUUUGUAUGUACUUUAUGAAUAAGGAUCGGCUAACUCCGUGCCAGCAGCCGCGGUAAUACGGAGGAUCCGAGCGUUAUCCGGAUUUAGUGGGUGUACAGGGAGCGUAGAUGGGUUGUUAAGUCAGUUGUGAUAGUUUGCGGCUCAACCGUAAAAUUGCCAUUGAUACUGGCAGCCUUGAGUUCAGUUGAGGUAGGCGUCAUUCGUGGUGUAGCGG